GGUGAACGCUGGCGGCGUGCCUAACACAUGCAAGUCGAACGGAGUCCAGCCUUUAAGACCUUCGGGUCAAAGAGGGGAAGACUGAGUGGCGGACGGGUGAGUAACACGUGGGCAACCUGGCUCAUAGAGGGGGAUAACAGAGAGAAAUUUCUGCUAAUACCGCAUAAGCACACACUGCCGCAUGGCAGAGGGUGAAAAGAGAAUCGCUAUGAGAUGGACCCGCGUCUGAUUAGCCAGUUGGCAGGGUAAGAGCCUACCAAAGCGACGUUCAGUAGCCGAUCUGAGAGGAUGAACGGCCACAUUGGGACUGAGACACGGCCCAAACUCCUACGGGAGGCAGCAGUGGGGGAUAUUGCACAAUGGGGGGAACCCUGAUGCAGCGACGCCGCGUGAGUGAAGAAGUAUUUCGGUAUGUAAAGCUCUAUCAGCAGGGAAGAUAAUGACAGUACCUGAAUAAGAAGCCCCGGCUAACUACGUG
rnacentral:rRNA from 1 species